GCAUGGGUGAUUUGGAUGGAGUAUUUAUCAGUGCUGAUCACUUGGAUUGCUUUGGCUGAUCUGGCUGGCUUGGAGGAUUUUCCAUUCUUCCCUCAUUGUUCCAUAUGUUUCCUUUCCAAAACCUUUCCCUCUGUGGAAGAGAACAUUUUCCGCUAGCUGAAGUGGGAAAGCCACAAAGCCAAAGUUCUCUUUUGAGAGUCUGUUAAAAAGUUAUUCUUUAGCAAAACUACUUGUAUCUGAAGAUGUAGAUUGAAAAUUCAUCUUAUACAAUGU
rfam:Equus caballus chromosome 3, whole genome shotgun sequence.